rnacentral:ribozyme from 1 species
GAAGAGAAAGAGAAGGAAGGAGGAGAGGUAGAAUGAGACAGCGUGCAUUUUUUUCAUUUAUUAUUUUUCUUUACUUUUUUUAUCACUAUUUGUUGACGUUCACUACAUAUAUUUGUGCAUGUAUAUGAAUAUGCGUGCAAAUAUAUGCGAAAAAGUAGAGAAAAGAAAG